rnacentral:rRNA from 1 species
UACGUAGGGUGCAAGCGUUGUCCGGAAUUAUUGGGCGUAAAGAGCUCGUAGGCGGUCUGUCACGUCGACUGUGAAAUCCCGAGGCUCAACCUCGGGCCUGCAGUCGAUACGGGCAGACUAGAGUUCGGUAGGGGAGACUGGAAUUCCUGGUGUAGCGGUGAAAUGCGCAGAUAUCAGGAGGAACACCAGUGGCGAAGGCGGCUCACUGGCCCGAUACUGACGCUGAGGCACGAAAGCGUGGGGAGCAGACAGG